CAUCGGCAAGCGGUGGCGCGCCGCGGCCUCCAGCGCCGGGCGGUAGGCCUCGGCAUCCUGCGAGCCGCGUUCGGGGUCGGGGCCGGUGU
rnacentral:tRNA from 1 species